rnacentral:rRNA from 1 species
GAUGAACGCUGGCGGCAGGCUUAACACAUGCAAGUCGAGCGAGCGGCGGACGGGUGAGUAAUGUCUGGGAAACUGCCUGCUGGAGGGGGAUAAAUACUGGAAACGGUAGCUACUACCUCAUAGCAUAAGAUGUUCUCAGAUUGGAUUAGCUAGUAGGUGGGGUAAUGGCUCACCUAGGCGACGAUCCCUAGCUGGUCUGAGAGGAUGACCAGCCACCCUGGAACUGAGACACGGUCCAGACUCCUACGGGAGGCAGCAGUGAGGAAUAUUGCACAAUGGGCGCAAGCCUGAUACAGCCAUGCCGCGUGUGUGAAGAAGGCCUUCGGGUUGUAAAGCACUUUCAGCGAGGAGGCGUUACUCGCAGAAGAAGCACCGGCUAACUCCGUGCCAGCCGCCGCGGUAAUAC